rnacentral:rRNA from 1 species
GACGAACGCUGGCGGCGUGCUUAACACAUGCAAGUCGAACGAUGAAGCCUAGCUUGCUAGGUGGAUUAGUGGCGAACGGGUGAGUAAUACGUGAGUGACCUACCUUUGACUCUGGGAUAAGCCUGGGAAACUGGGUCUAAUACCGGAUACGACCAAUCUCCGCAUGGGGUGUUGGUGGAAAGCGUUAUGGAGUGGUUUUAGAUGGGCUCACGGCCUAUCAGCUUGUUGGUGAGGUAAUGGCUUACCAAGGCGACGACGGGUAGCCGGCCUGAGAGGGUGACCGGCCACACUGGGACUGAGACACGGCCCAGACUCCUACGGGAGGCAGCAGUGGGGAAUAUUGCACAAUGGGCGCAAGCCUGAUGCAGCGACGCCGCGUGAGGGAUGACGGCCUUCGGGUUGUAAACCUCUGUUAGCAUCGAAGAAGCGAAAGUGACGGUAGGUGCAGAGAAAGCGCCGGCUAACUACGUGCCAGCAGCCGCGGUAAUACGUAGGGCGCGAGCGUUGUCCGGAAUUAUUGGGCGUAAAGAGCUUGUAGGCGGUUGGUCGCGUCUGCUGUGAAAGGCUGGGGCUUAACCCUGGUUUUGCAGUGGGUACGGGCUAACUAGAGUGCAGUAGGGGAGACUGGAAUUCCUGGUGUAGCGGUGGAAUGCGCAGAUAUCAGGAGGAACACCGAUGGCGAAGGCAGGUCUCUGGGCUGUAACUGACGCUGAGAAGCG